CCAGGUAAAAACAAUGCCAUAAGUUCAAAGGAACUGCCUGUAGAGUUAAGAGACAGGAUUGUGUUGAGGCACAGAUCAGUGGAAGGCUACAAACCUUUCCGGCUGAAUUAUAGGUUCGCAAGAGAAGAAGUUUGGAACAACCUAUAGCUAACCUGCCGGCCAUACUGCUCAAUCGUGGGAGAAUGGCCUUGGUAAGAGAGGAGACCAAGAAACUAAUGGUCGCUCUGCAUGAGCUUUAAGAUAGUGGAGAUGGGAGAGCUUAUGAAAGUUUCACUGCAACACUCCACCGAUUGUCCAGUCGGAAGACACCUUACUGCAAGACACCUGAAAGCCCACUUGGAAUUUGUGUUAAAAAAAAAAAAAAAGCACCUAAUGGACUUUCAGACUGUAUGAAACUAGAUUCUCUGGUGUGGUGAAAUGAAGAUUGAACUGUUUUGAUUCCAUUAAAAGCAUCAUGUCUGGAGGAAAUGAAGCACUGUUCAUCACCACUAAUAAUUUAAACAACUGCGGCUUAAGGCUUUAACAAAAACAAUGUGAAAAAACAAAGUCUUCUG